AAAAAAAGAGUUAAUUAUUCCGAUUUGACGAUUCCAGUAAAAAAAAAGCUACAAGAAUCAUCUUCUAGUAAAAAACAAAAACAAUUGUGGAAGAUGAUUAUGUUGCAAUGGACCAACGGGAAACAGAUGAUUUUGAGGUAUAGUCCUAUUUUCGCUUCUUUCUUUUGUAUAUCGAUAAUUUAAGUUGUAUAUGACAUAAUAAAUGAAUUGUAAUUGGGAGACGC
rnacentral:lncRNA from 1 species